GCAACGCCGCGUGAGGGAUGACGGCCUUCGGGUUGUAAACCUCUUUCAGGACAGACGAAGCGCAAGUGACGGUAUGUUCAGAAGAAGGACCGGCCAACUACGUGCCAGCAGCCGCGGUAAUACGUAGGGUCCGAGCGUUGUCCGGAAUUAUUGGGCGUAAAGGGCUCGUAGGCGGUUUGUUGCGUCGGGAGUGAAAACCCAGGGCUUAACUCUGGGCUUGCUUUCGAUACGGGCAGACUUGAGGUAUUCAGGGGAGAACGGAAUUCCUGGUGUAGCGGUGAAAUGCGCAGAUAUCAGGAGGAACACCGGUGGCGAAGGCGGUUCUCUGGGAAUUACCUGACGCUGAGGAGCGAAAGUGUGGGGAGCGAACAGGAUUAGAUACCCUGGUAGUCCACACCGUAAACGUUGGGCGCUAGGUGUGGGACACAUUCCACGUGUUCCGUGCCGCAGCUAACGCAUUAAGCGCCCCGCCUGGGGAGUACGGCCGCAAGGCUAAAACUCAGAGGAAUUGACGGGGGCCCGCACAAGCGGCGGAGCAUGCGGAUUAAUUCGAUGCAACGCGAAGAACCUUACCUGGGUUUGACAUAUACAGGAAGCCUGCAGAGAUGUGGGUCUCUUUGAUACUC
rnacentral:rRNA from 2 species